UCUCACACAUCUUAAUUUGUGAACUUCAUUUUAUAGGAUCAAAAGACACAAGGCGAGUUUUGUUUCCAGAUACUAGCUUUUACGUUAAUUGUAAUCACACACUCUCAAGCUUGAAUUGCAUCAUCAACAAUUGGUCAAGUCUUUGGAGACAUUGUGGGUCAUCCAUUGAUAAAAGCAGAGAGGUGAUUGUGCGAAGAUUUAUAGAUACCAGAGAAGUUUCAUUUCUAGGAGAAAACAAAUCGGUUUGCAAGCAUUUGAUUGAAGAUCUCAAAUGCACUUCAUUCUAAGAGUGGAAUUUUACUUCAGAUUCUCUUACCUAGAAGAUUCUCAAGCUCAAAUAGAAUCAUCACAGUUGGGUUAACAUCACCAUAACUAAGCUUACAUUCUUGGAGUUUGCAAAUUGCAAUUGCGACCACACAUUCUCAAAACUCAAAUAGUAUCCAUCAUUCACCAUUGGGUAUGAUUAUUUUAUCAUCUCUCAACUUACUAUCUAUUUUUACUAAUAUUUCUAUUACUAUAAAUUACUUCAUUAAAAAGAUAAGGAAAUCUUAUUUAUUAAUUAGGAUUAAUUUUCUAUUGAAUCAAUCAUAAUUUUUACUACUUUCUGUAAAAUUAAUUUACUAUGCAUACAUAAUUGUUCUAAUUAUAUUACAACCACAAAAACCGAAAAUAGUAUUGUAAUAUUUAAUUUUCUUUGUUUAUAGAUCUAGCUAGAGCAUAGAUAAAUAAACCAGUAUUGGGGUGGUCUCCACCAAUUAAUUCUUCUUUAAUAAAUCUCUUAUUCUUAAUGGAUCAAUUAAUUUUAUUUAGUCUCUUUCCUCAAAUUUAUCAGAAAUUGAUGGCGAUGCUCAAAUUUGACCACACUUUUCAAGCAUCACCCCUUAGAAUUUAGACUAUUUCCUGAGACUAACACUAUUAAUUUUAAUUGUUUUAAUAUGAGUUCAUUCUUUGUGCACACUUAUGCCUCAAACUCGACCAUCUACUUUCCUUCUCUCCAUUUCCCAUAAAUCAUGUUACAAUUAAAAUGAAAUAAAAUUGUUUUUACUUUUCCUUUUAUAUAUAUCAAGUAUUUAUUGACAUGGUAUUGGUGGGUCAUUCAACUUACAAAAUAAAAAGCUCAAACAUCUUUACUCAAUUUCCAAGUUUGAAUUUAUUCUCAAACAUUCUUUGCUUAAUUUCCAAGUUUGAAUUUGUUUUCACACACAUUCUUUACUUAAUUUGUGAGUUGGAAUUAUUUUACAUUUAUAUUCUCACACAUCUUAAUUUAUGAACUUCAAUUUACGAGAUCAAAAGACACCAUACGAGUUUUGUUUCCAGGUAUGAUCAUUUGUGAUGUUUCAACUUCAUUAUCAGAAGAUGAUGAAUCAUUUUGAUUAAUAUAUUCCCUUUCAGAACUAAGUAAUUCAUAUACAUGAAUAAUGAAUCGAUUUUUUGUUUCUUCAAACUAUAUAUAUAGAUACUAACUUUUAUGUUAAUUGUGAUUGUGACCACAUAUUUUCAAGCUCGAAUAGCAUCAUCAACAAUUGGUCAUCCAUCGAUAAAAGCAGAGAGGUGAUUGUGCAAAGAUUUACAGAUACUAGAGAAGUUUCAUUUCUAAGAAAACACCAAUCGUUUGCCAGGAUCUAAUUGACGAUCUCAAAUACACUUCAUUUUGAGUGUGAAAUUUUACUUCAUAUUCUCUUACCCAGAAGGUACCAAUCACAAACUUUGCGAAUUGUGACCGCAGAUUCUCAAGCUCAAAUAGGAUCAUUACAAUUAGAAUACAGGUCAUGAUAAUAAUCUCUCACAGUGUGUAGUUUUAUAUCGUGUCAAGAUAUCUCUUAAUAGAAAAAAGUUAAAGGCCUAAUCAAAACUAGAUGCUUGCGCUUUGUUAGUAGUUACUCGAAGCUUUGACAUUUCAUGAAAAUCAUUGGUUUCUGAGCAAGAUAUAUUGAUGGAGAUUGUAACUGCUAUUGUAUCAAAGGUUGGAGAAUACUUGGUGGAG